rnacentral:rRNA from 1 species
GGAAUAUUGCACAAUGGGCGCAAGCCUGAUGCAGCCAUGCCGCGUGUAUGAAGAAGGUCUUCGGGUUGUAAAGUACUUUCAGCGAGGAGGAAGGCAUUGUGGUUAAUAACCACAGUGAUUGACGUUACUCGCAGAAGAAGCACCGGCUAACUCCGUGCCAGCAGCCGCGGUAAUACGGAGGGUGCAAGCGUUAAUCGGAAUUACUGGGCGUAAAGCGCACGCAGGCGGUCUGUCAAGUCGGAUGUGAAAUCCCCGGGCUCAACCUGGGAACUGCAUUCGAAACUGGCAGGCUAGAGUCUUGUAGAGGGGGGUAGAAUUCCAGGUGUAGCGGUGAAAUGCGUAGAGAUCUGGAGGAAUACCGGUGGCGAAGGCGGCCCCCUGGACAAAGACUGACGCUCAGGUGCGAAAGCGUGGGGAGCAAACAGGAUUAGAUACCCCUG